ACACUGCCCCCGCCCCGCGGUUUCCUGCCCAGCGCAGGAAUGAAAAGGGAACAGCAGCGGAGGGUUGUGACCCAACCCCGCGCUGCGGCUGCCCCCGCAACUGUGAUCGGUGAAUCCGAUGCCCUCCGCCACUGGCCGCGCGCCGGGAAGGCCGCAUCGGAUGAGGACCCGAUAGCCAGGAGACCUGCCACGGAGCGAUGUGAUGC
rnacentral:ncRNA from 2 species